rnacentral:rRNA from 1 species
UGAGGAAUAUUGGUCAAUGGGCGUAAGCCUGAACCAGCCAAGUCGCGUGAGGGAAGACGGCCCUAUGGGUUGUAAACCUCUUUUGUCGGGGAGCAAAGCCGCCCACGAGUGGGCGGAAGGAGAGUACCCGAAGAAAAAGCAUCGGCUAACUCCGUGCCAGCAGCCGCGGUAAUACGGAGGAUGCGAGCGUUAUCCGGAUUUAUUGGGUUUAAAGGGUGCGUAGGCGGCAUGGUAAGUCAGCGGUCAAAUCGAGGGGCUCAACCCCUUCCGCUCGUCGUAAAACUGCCGUGCUUGAGUGGGGCGAGAAGUAUGCGGAAUGCGUGGUGUAGCGGUGAAAUGCAUAGAUAUCACGCAGAACUCCGAUUGCGAAGGCAGCAUACCGGCGCCCGCACUGACGCUGAGGCACGAAAGCGUGGGGAUCGAACAGGAUUAGAUACC